GCAAAUUAAUAAAAUUGAUUGACGGCAGUGAGGAGAAGCUACUAUCGUCGCACUUCUCCAAGGUGAGCAACAGCGGAGUUCUUUGGGUUUCCUGGUUCAGACCACCUGCAAGUGGAACAGAAACUAGGUUUCAUGAAGGCAAGUGUGGCGUUUCAUACAGCACCAAAUGACUUUUACAACACGCAGGGAAUAUUUACUGCCGAGAAGAGGCUGAUGACAUCUCCGUCAUGUCAACAUUCUUAACAGCUCAACAUUAACCAACUGGAAAGGCAGAGGCGGCCGCACUUCAAACAAGACCCACAUGCCAAUGCUGAGAGUGCUAUUUUAGGUACGUGAUUCAUAAUUCAACACUCCCAAUGUUAAAGCCUUUGAUACAACUUGUUCUUUUGUGCAAAGUCGUCACAUGUACAGUGAAUAUAAUAAUUCUGCACAUGCCUGUUCCAAUGCGAGGUUCUUGCAUCAUAGAAAAAAAUGAGACUGAGAUUAUUCAUUUCAAAACUUUUUCCAUCAUUAAUGUGACCUGAAAUCAAACAACUGAGUUGCGAGUAAAACCAAACAACUGAGAUGUUGUUUUUGCACAAGUAUGCACACCUUCUGGGGAUGUAGGUGUGUUCUCAAUUAAUAUCCACACUCAUGUUAAAUAUGAGUCCACACACCUUGCCAUCAUUUAAAAUUCCUCUGAUGACUCCCUAAUGAAGUUCAGAUGUUCUAGUAGACUUUCCCUGACAUUUUGUUGCCUUCUAUCAGAGGCCUCGUGGUUUUGUGCUCUUUGGUACUGUUCCUAAUUCCCUCCACUUUGACUAAACAAUGGCUGGAAAGGAUGCCGUCAUCUUACUUCACAAUAGUAUUGGUGCUCUUUUGGUGAUUUGAUUUAUUUGUCUAUUUAUUUAUUUGGUUAUUCAUUCAUUUAUAUAUGUAUGUAUUUAUAAAAGGAAAAUGAUUCAAAGCUACCUGACUGCUUUCCCUCUAAACCUAAUAACUGGUUGCGCCACGCUCAGCAGCAACAACUGAAAUCAAGUGGUUUCUACAACUAGCCAUGAGUCUUUCACAUCUUUGUGGAGAUAUUUUGGCCCAUUCUACCUUGCAGAAUUGUUUACAUUCAAAAACACUGGAGGGUUUUUGAGCAUGAAUCGCAUUUUUAAGGUCAUACCACAGCAUUUCAAUUGGAUUCAAGC